rnacentral:lncRNA from 1 species
CUCACGCUGGUCUGAUGGUGAUGGAGGAUUCUGGGCUCUUUUAUCUCCUGCUGUGUGCUGGAUUUCUACUGGCCAGCAGUGAGGUUCUACAUGUUAAGGGACGAGAGGGAAAUGUGGUUAUACUUCGUUGUGGAAAACUCAGUAAAGGUAACGUAAUCUGGAGCAGAGAAAUUAACGGACAGAAAGUCGAUAUUCUGAAUAAUAAUAACGGACAGGUGACCCGAUACUCCGCUGGAUCAGAUGGACGUUACAGUUCUGGAGGAAAUCUAUGGCUGAAUAUAUUCAGAGUCUCACAGUCAGACGCUGGAAGAUACUACUGUAAUGGAGAAACAGUGGAACUGACUCUAAUAGGAAAUGGUAAGUGUGACAAUUAACUAAUUAAAACUAAAUGUAAUUACUCCUGAAACAAUACAAAUACUUUGUUACCAUACUUUAGUAUAAAUAUAGGUUAUCUACACUUUACUGCAGUAAUUAUUUUAACAUUUUCACACAAUUAUCUGAAAUUUCUACUCCUUACAUUUUAAAAAUAGCCUCGUUAUUUCUAUUUCAUUUCAGCUGGUUUUCAUUCCAGCUUCUCGUCGUUCAAUAAAACCCCUAUCCAGAUAAAUCUCUCCA